AUGUUAUAUUCUGAUCCCUUGGAGUUUCGACCAGAGAGAUUCCUUACAAGACACAAAGAUGUUGAUGUGAAGGGACGACACUUUGAGUUGAUUCCGUUUGGUGCAGACGGAGGAGAAGUAGAUAUGGUUGAACAAAGUGGAAUAACCAAUAUCAAAGCCUCUCCUCUCCAAGUCAUUCUCACUCCUCGUCUCUCGGCUCAAGUAUGGCGAUGCAGUUACUAA